UGGAGCAUGUGGUUAAUUCGACGCAACGCGAAGAACCUUACCAGGGCUUGACAUCCCCUGACCGCGUAUGAAAGUACGUUUUCACCCUCGGGUGACAGGGAGACAGGUGGUGCAUGGUUGUCGUCAGCUCGUGUCGUGAGAUGUUGGGUUAAGUCCCGCAACGAGCGCAACCCCUACGUUUAGUUGCUAACGCGUGAAGGCGAGCACUCUAGACGAACUGCCGUUGACAAAACGGAGGAAGGUGGGGAUGACGUCAAAUCAUCAUGCCCCUUAUGUUCUGGGCUACACACGUGCUACAAUGGCCGGUACAGACGGACGCAAAGCCGCGAGGUGGAGCAAAUCCUAAGAAGCCGGUCUCAGUUCGGAUUGCAGGCUGCAAUUCGCCUGCAUGAAGUCGGAAUCGCUAGUAAUCGCAGGUCAGCAUACUGCGGUGAAUACGUUCCCGGGCCUU
rnacentral:rRNA from 1 species